rfam:Myotis brandtii contig233585, whole genome shotgun sequence.
GGUGGUUCUUGGGUGAUGCACCCCAGAAUCAGGCUCCCUCCUUUCUGGUUCCAGGUGCAUCACCCAAGAACCGCA